rnacentral:rRNA from 1 species
UACGGGGGGGGCAAGCGUUGUUCGGAAUUACUGGGCGUAAAGGGCUCGUAGGUGGCCAACUAAGUCAGACGUGAAAUCCCUCGGCUUAACCGGGGAACUGCGUCUGAUACUGGAUGGCUUGAGUUCGGGAGAGGGAUGCGGAAUUCCAGGUGUAGCGGUGAAAUGCGUAGAUAUCUGGAGGAACACCGGUGGCGAAGGCGGCAUCCUGGACCGACACUGACGCUGAGGAGCGAAAGUCAGGGGAGCAAACGGG